rnacentral:rRNA from 1 species
GAGAGUGGGUAGUCCGCACGAGCGCACCUCAUCUUUAUUGCCAGCAGGUUAAGCUGGGCACUCUAAAGAAACUGCCGGUGAUAAGCUGGAGGAAGGCGGGGAUGACGUCAAGUCCUCAUGGCCCUUACGGUCUGGGCUACACACGUGCUACAAUGGUGGUGACAGUGGGCAGCUAUGUCGCGAGACAAAGCUAAUCCCAAAAAGCCAUCUCAGUUCAGAUUGGACUCUGCAACUCGAGUCCAUGAAGUUGGAAUCGCUAGUAAUCGUAGAUCAGCGUGCUACGGUGAAUGCGUUCCCGGGUCUUGUACACACCGCCCGUCACACCAUGGGAGUUGGUUCUACCUUAAGGCAAGGUUUUAAACCCUUGACCACGGUAUAGUCAGCGACUGGGGUGAAGUCGUAACAAGGUAGCCGUAGGGGAACCUGCGGCUGGAUUACCUCCUUUCU